GUGCUCACAGAUGGUGACGGUGUGGAGAGACGGUGGUGUUUCCUCAGAAGAACUAGCAGAGUCACAAAGGGCACCAGUCCAUCUCACCGCCUUGACUUGCUGACUGAUGCUCGUCUGCACUGCACAGAGGAAAUCAACUGACCGAGGAGUGUUUCUGAGUGAGGGAGAGAGGAGGUCCAGGUAAAGUGACGUGGAUCAGUGGAUACACUUGUCUCCCCUUUAAAGGAGACACUCUUAGAGAGAGACGAUCCGAGUCAUCCUUAAAUGUUAGUGCUUUCAAAUACACAAACAUUUUUAAAGGACAAAAACGAACAUCCAACUUUGACUGUAACACAAAAUAAAUCUUUGCAUGUGUGUUUUCAAACUCUCACAUGGGCAGUAUAUCAGUCUUGGACUGUCUAACCUGCAGGAGCAGCAUUGAAUGAUCACCACACAUGAGCAUGUUCCUGCAACAUUCAGCAUCUGAUCUGCCAUCUGUGUGCUUCUGCUUUUGUGUCAAAUGUCAAACA